CCUACGGGAGGCAGCAGUGGGGGAUAUUGCACAAUGGGGGGAACCCUGAUGCAGCGACGCCGCGUGGGUGAAGAAGCGCCUCGGCGCGUAAAGCCCUGUCAGCAGGGAAGAAAAUGACGGUACCUGAAGAAGAAGCCCCGGCUAACUAAGUGCCAGCAGCCGCGGUAAUACGUAGGGGGCAAGAGUUCUCCGGAGUUACUGGGUGUAACGGGGGCGCAGACGGCGAUGCAAGCCAGGAGUGAAACCCCGGGCCCAACCCCGGGACUGCUCUUGGAAAUGCGUGGCUGGAGUGCAGGAGGGGCAGGCGGAAUUCCUGGUGUAGCGGUGAAAUGCGUAGAUAUCAGGAGGAACACCGGUUGCGAAGGCGGCCUGCUGGACUGCAACUGACGUUGAGGCCCGAAAGCGUGGGGAGCAAACAGGAUUAGAUACCCCAGUAGUC
rnacentral:rRNA from 1 species